rnacentral:rRNA from 1 species
GACGAACGCUGGCGGCGUGCUUAACACAUGCAAGUCGAACGGAAAGGCCCUGCGUUUGUGGGGUGCUCGAUUGGCGAACGGGUGAGUAACACGUGAGUAACCUGCCCUUGACUUUGGGAUAACUUCAGGAAACUGGGGCUAAUAUCGGAUAGGAGCUCCUGCUGCAUGGGGUGGGUUGGAGAGUUUCGGCGUUGGGGGAUGUACUCGCGGCUUAUCAGCUUGUUGGUGGGGUAGGUGCUUACCAAGGCUUUGACGGGUAGCCGGCCUGAGAGGGUGACCGGCGACAUUGGGACUGAGAUACGGCCCAGAAUCCUACGGGCGGCAGCAGUGGGGAAUAUUGCACAAUGGGCGGAAGCCUGAUGCAGCAACGCCGCGUGCGGGAUGACGGCCUUCGGGUUGUAAACCGCUUUCGCCUGUGACGAAGCGUGCGUGACGGUAAUGGGUAAAGAAGCACCGGCUAACUACGUG